rnacentral:tRNA from 1 species
GUGGGCGUGCCGGAGUGGUUGUUAGGCAUGACUAGAAAUCAUGUGGGCUUUGCCCGCGCAGGUUCGAAUCCUGCCGCUCACG